rnacentral:tRNA from 1 species
GAGCCCGUAGCUCAGUUGGUAGAGCACUUGACUUUUAAUCAGGGUGUCUCGGGUUCGAGCCCCGACGGGCUCACCA